AUUGAACGCUGGCGGCAGGCCUAACACAUGCAAGUCGAGCGGACGAAGGGAGCGCGCUCCCGGAUGCCGCGGCGGACGGGCGGGUAAUGCCUACGAGUCUGACUGACCGAGGGGAAUGACGUACCGAAACGGGAGCGGAUCUCACACCGGACCAGAGAGUGAAAGGGGGGGAUCAUCGGUCAUAAAGGGUUCUGAUGAGACUAGGACGCAUUAGCUAGUUGGUUGGGUAAAGGCUUACCAAGGCGACUAACCGUAACUGGUCUGAGAGGAUGAUCAGCCACACUGGAACUGAGACACGGUCCAGACUCCUACGGGAGGCAGCAGUGGGGAAUCUUCCACAAUGGGCGAAAGCCUGAUCCAGCAACGCCGCGUGAGUGAUGAAGGUCUUCGGAUCGUAAAGCUCUGUUAGUUGGGAGGAAGAACAGUGUGUUUAUCCCUGCCCGUCUUGACGUUACCUACACAAUAAGCCCCGGCUAACUUCGUG
rnacentral:rRNA from 1 species